UACGUAGGGGCCUAGCGUUGUCCGGAAUUAUUGGGCCUAAAGCAUCCGUAGCCGGUCCUACAAGUCUUCCGUUAAAUCCACCUGCUUAACAGAUGGGCUGCGGAAGAUACUAUAGGGCUAGGAGGCGGGAGAGGCAAGCGGUACUCAGUGGGUAGGGGUAAAAUCCUCUGAUCCAUUGAAGACCACCAGUGGCGAAGGCGGCUUGCCAGAACGCGCUCGACGGUGAGGGAUGAAAGCUGGGGGAGCAAACCGG
rnacentral:rRNA from 1 species